rnacentral:rRNA from 1 species
UGCCUACGGGAGGCAGCAGUGGGGGAUAUUGGACAAUGGGGGGAACCCUGAUCCAGCGACGCCGCGUGAGUGAAGAAGUAUUUCGGUAUGUAAAGCUCUGUCAGCAGGGAAGAAAGCAAUGACGGUACCUGACCAAGAAGCCCCGGCUAACUACGUGCCAGCAGCCGCGGUAAUACGUAGGGGGCAAGCGUUAUCCGGAUUUACUGGGUGUAAAGGGAGCGUAGGUGGCAAGGCAAGUCAGAUGUGAAAACCCGGGGCCCAACCCCGGGAGUGCAUUUGAAACUGUCUGGCUAGAGUGCAGGAGG